UACGUAGGGUGCGAGCGUUAAUCGGAAUUACUGGGCGUAAAGCGUGCGCAGGCGGUUUUGUAAGCCAGAUGUGAAAGCCCCGGGCUUAACCUGGGAAUGGCAUUUGGGACUGCAAGGCUUGAGUGCGGCAGAGGAGACUGGAAUUCCUGGUGUAGCAGUGAAAUGCGUAGAGAUGCGGAGGAACACCGAUGGCGAAGGCAGCCCCCUGGGCCAGCACUGACGCUCAGGCACGAAAGCGUGGGGAGCAAACAGG
rnacentral:rRNA from 1 species